rnacentral:rRNA from 1 species
GACGAACGCUGGCGGCGUGCUUAACACAUGCAAGUCGAACGGAAAGGCCCUGCUUUUGUGGGGUGCUCGAGUGGCGAACGGGUGAGUAACACGUGAGUAACCUGCCCUUGACUUUGGGAUAACUUCAGGAAACUGGGGCUAAUACCGGAUAGGAGCUCCUGCUGCAUGGUGGGGGUUGGAAAGUUUCGGCGGUUGGGGAUGGACUCGCGGCUUAUCAGCUUGUUGGUGGGGUAGUGGCUUACCAAGGCUUUGACGGGUAGCCGGCCUGAGAGGGUGACCGGCCACAUUGGGACUGAGAUACGGCCCAGACUCCUACGGGAGGCAACAGUGGGGAAUAUUGCACAAUGGGGCGAAGCCUGAUGCAGCAACGCCGCGUGCGGGAUGACGGCCUUCGGGUUGUAAACCGCUUUCGCCUGUGACGAAGCGUGAGUGACGGUAAUGGGUAAAGAAGCACCGGCUAACUACGUG